CGCGGCCUAUCAGCUUGUUGGUGAGGUAAUGGCUUACCAAGGCGACGACGGGUAGCCGGCCUGAGAGGGCGACCGGCCACACUGGGACUGAGACACGGCCCAGACUCCUACGGGAGGCAGCAGUGGGGAAUAUUGCACAAUGGGGGAAACCCUGAUGCAGCGACGCCGCGUGCGGGAUGAAGGCCUUCGGGUUGUAAACCGCUUUCAGCAGGGACGAAAGUGACGGUACCUGCAGAAGAAGCACCGGCUAACUACGUGCCAGCAGCCGCGGUAAUACGUAGGGUGCAAGCGUUGUCCGGAAUUAUUGGGCGUAAAGAGUUCGUAGGCGGCUUGUCGCGUCCGUUGUGAAAGCUUGGGGCUCAACCCCAAGUCUGCAGUGGAUACGGGCAGGCUAGAGUCAGGUAGGGGAGAACGGAAUUCCUGGUGUAGCGGUGAAAUGCGCAGAUAUCAGGAGGAACACCGGUGGCGAAGGCGGAUCUCUGGGCCAUUACUGACGCUGAGGAGCGAAAGCGUGGGGAGCGAACAGGAUUAGAUACCCUGGUAGUCCACGCCGUAAACGGUGGGAACUAGGUGUUGGCGACAUUCCACGUCGUCGGUGUCGCAGCUAACGCAUUAAGUUCCCCGCC
rnacentral:rRNA from 1 species